UACGAAGGGUGCAAGCGUUACUCGGAAUUACUGGGCGUAAAGCGUGCGUAGGUGGUGAGUUAAGUCUGUCGUGAAAGCCCCGGGCUCAACCUGGGAAUGGCGAUGGAUACUGGCUCGCUAGAGUGCGGUAGAGGAGAGUGGAAUUCCCGGUGUAGCAGUGAAAUGCGUAGAGAUCGGGAGGAACAUCAGUUGCGAAGGCGGCUCUCUGGGCCAGCACUGACACUGAGGCACGAAGGCGUGGGGAGCAAACAGG
rnacentral:rRNA from 1 species